rnacentral:rRNA from 1 species
GACGUAGGGGGCAAGCGUUGUUCGGAAUUACUGGGCGUAAAGGGCUCGUAGGCGGCCAACUAAGUCGGAUGUGAAAUCCCCAGGCUUAACCUGGGAACUGCAUCCGAUACUGGAUGGCUUGAAUCCGGGAGAGGGAUGCAGAAUUCCAGGUGUAGCGGUGAAAUGCGUAGAUAUCUGGAGGAAUACCGGUGGCGAAGGCGGCAUCCUGGACCGGCAUUGACGCUGAGUGAGCGAAAGCCAGGGGAGCAAACGGG